CCAGCGCCGGCCGCGGCGGUGGCGGCAGCUGGGCCUCCGCCGAGCGGAGCUGCUGAGCAUGCGCACGCGCCCGCAGCGCCCGCUCCCGCCCCCCUCCGCUCUCCCCGCGCGCCCCCUCCGCGGGAGAGGAGCUGGGGCUCCAAUGACCCUCUGCGAAAAGCCCAGAGCCCGGGGUAAAUUUCUCCCACCCCAACCUCCGCUCCUCCUGCAGCUGAGAGCGUAAAAAAAUGUCGACUGAAGAGCCGCAGGAAGCCUUUAUUUUAAACGCGGUCAUUAAAGCGGGGGUUUGUGUUCUCACCCUUUAAUGAGGUGCACGCUCCCGGCUGCGGGCUGCGAUAUCGCUCUACUGCUGGGCUUUGUUUUGCAUUGAGUUGGAUUUGAUUUUGGGGGGUGGGGGGGGGGUGGAAAGCGGUUAUGUCUGUGCUUAAAGGAUGACAGACCUACGUACUAGAAAAGGAAAGGAGGUAAACCCGAGGGGAGACGGGGAGACGGGGAGAGGAUUAUUUCCUGAAUCUGUUAUGUUGGUCGGAUUAAAGCGUGGCCACGGCAGGUAGCUGCUGGCAGGGGAGCGGUUCCAAGGCUGCGCGUCCGCCCGGGCCCGGGACACCCCGCCUCUGGGUUCAGUCCGCCAGCUAGGGUGGGUGGGGAUGGAGGCGGGAGCAAGGGUGGAAGUAAACACCGCACUGCCCCUCUGCUUCUGGACCUGCAAUCCGCCUCGUAAACGCUGAUGGUCCGCUAAGUAAGCCCCAGCCGCUGCUCCACUCUUGCGAGGGGGAAGACGGGGCGGGAUGUAGGGUUUGCUCGGACUUUUCCGCUUCUUUGCUGGCACAGCCUCGCUGUGGAGGUGUAGAGACCAACGUCUGGCUCAAGUUUGCAAAGUUUAUUUGUGUUUCCCACAUAGAGUUGUUCAUUUCUGGAAAAAUUAACACAUUCAUAAAAGUUGUGAGCUGUAAAGACUUGAAUGACCAGAAUGUUAAGUAUUAUUUGAGGGACAUUCUACUAGAAAAACACCAAGUGAGUCAUCAUCAGAAGGCCAAGAUUCUAAGACGAAGCUCUGCCAUUAUUUAACUACAUAAUCUUGGGUAAAUCAGUAGACUGGAGUUCCCUUCACAUCAAUUAUCUCAUCUCUAAGAUAAGUAUCAUAAUCACUUUCCUGCUUACUUUGGAGUUGUAAUAAUCAAAUGCUCACUUUGAAAAUGUUAAGGGUUUAUAUACAAGACAUUAUUAAUAUUCUACAGUAGGAUAUUGGCUAGGAUUGACUGGAAAUAUUUCUGAGUCCGAAGUAGCCACUAGUUUUUGUCUACAUAAGAAAAUGCUUCCCAUUCCCAGAAAGAUACAAAUAUCUACAUUUGGAACCUAAAAUAGACAUGAAAUUAUUUGUUUACAAUAUGGUAACGUAUAUCUAUAUAUAUGUACUUAGGAAUUAUUUUUAGCAAAUGAAAAAGAAUUGUAACUAAAUGCAAAAGAAUAGUAAAUCAAGAUAUUUACCAAAAUAAAAAAGAAAGAUUAUAUGCUACA
rnacentral:lncRNA from 1 species